GGAUGCUGUCUGUGGUAACUCGAAGCUGCUGGUGUGACUAAGGAAACUAUCAAAUGGAUCCCAAGAAUGGGGUCAUUCUGACCCAGCUCAUUCAGAUAUACCUAUCUCAAGAUAAAAAGCAUAGCCAGAAUACACCAGCUGUACAGAAGAAGAUGAAUAGUUCAGAUGUCUAUUUGGAACCACUGUUGAUUCAGGCCUGUAAACAGAUGCAGUCUUCACUGCAUUAGCAGUUUAUUCCAUUUUUAAUCAGCCACAUGAUGCUACCCAAUUAUCAUUUAACCUAUAAUCACCUUUUG
rnacentral:lncRNA from 14 species